rnacentral:rRNA from 1 species
GACGAACGCUGGCGGCGUGCUUAACACAUGCAAGUCGAACGGUAAGGCCCUUCGGGGUACACGAGUGGCGAACGGGUGAGUAACACGUGGGUGAUCUGCCCUGCACUUCGGGAUAAGCCUGGGAAACUGGGUCUAAUACCGGAUAGGACCACUGCCUGCAUGGGUGGUGGUGGAAAGCUUUUGCGGUGUGGGAUGGGCCCGCGGCCUAUCAGCUUGUUGGUGGGGUGAUGGCCUACCAAGGCGACGACGGGUAGCCGGCCUGAGAGGGUAACCGGCCACGCUGGGACGGAGAUACGGCCCGGACGCCUACGGGAGGCAGCAGUGGGUGAUAUGGCACAAUGGGCGCAAGGCUGAUGCAGCGACGCCGCGUUAGGGAUGUCGGCCUUCGGGUUGUAAACGUCUUUCAGCACCGACGAAGCGUAAGUGACGGUAGGUGCAGAAGAAGGACCGGCCAACUACGUGCCAGCAGCCGCGGUAA